rnacentral:rRNA from 1 species
UUUAAUAGGGCGACUAGUCGCUAGGAGUAGACCCGAAACCGGCGCGAUCUAUCCAUGGCCAGGUUGAAGAUUAGGUAGUACUAAUUGGAGGACCGAACCCAAUACUGUUGCAAAAGUAUGGGAUGAGCUGUGGAUCGGAGUGAAAGGCUAAUCAAGCACGGAGAUAGCUGGUUCUCCCCGAAAACUAUUUAGGUAGUGCCUCGUGUAUAACUCAUUGGGGUAAAGCACUGUUUCGACAAUGGGGGUUUUACGACCUUACUGACUCGAUGCAAACUCAGAAUACGAUGAAGUUCGAUCACGGGAGACACACUGCGGGUGCUAAGGUCCGCAGUGGAAAGGGAAACAGCCCAGACCGCCAACUAAGGUCCCAAAGUCAUAGCUAAGUGGGAAACGAAGUGGGAAGGCCCAGACAGCCAGGAGGUUGGCUUAGAAGCAGCCACCCUUUAAAGAAAGCGUAAUAGCUCACUGGUCGAGUCGGCCUGCACGUAAGAUUUAACGGGGCUAAGCUAUGCACUGAAGUUGCGGAAUAUAUUUAGUAUAUUGGUAGGGGAGCGUUCUGUAAGCCGAUGAAGGUGAAUUGAGAAGUUUGCUGGAGGUAUCAGAAGUGCGAAUGCUGACAUGAGUAACGUAAAAUAAGUGAGAUUCUUAUUGGCCGAAAACCCAAGGGUUCCUACGCAAUGUUAAUCAACGUAGGGUAAGCCGGCCCCUAAGGCGUAGCUGAAGAGUGAAGUCGAUGGGAAACAGGUUAAUAUUCCUGUGCUGCUUAUAUGAACGAAGGAGGGACGGAGAAGGUUAGGUAGGCCUGGCGAAUGGUUGUCCAGGUGAAAGUAUGUAGGUAGGAAUGCUAGGCAAAUCCGGUGUUCUGUUGAUCUGAGAUACGAGACGAAGUUAAACUUGUUUGACGAAGCUAUUGAUACCAUGCUUCCAGGAAAAGCUUCUAAGUAUAUUGUAUAAGUGACCGUACUGUAAACCGACACUGGUGGGUAGGUAGAGAAUACUAAGGCUAUGAGAUAACUCUGGUGAAGGAACUAGGCAAAAUGACACCGUAACUUUGGAAGAAGGUGUGCCCUUGAUGGUGAUGAGACUUGCUCUUUGAGCUGUUGGGGGUUGCAGAUACCAGGUGGCUGCGACUGUUUAUCAAAAACACAGCACUCUGCGAAAUCGUAAGAUGAAGUAUAGGGUGUGACGCCUGCCCGGUGCUGGAAGGUUAAUUGAAGGGGUUAGCGCAAGCGAAGCUCUGGAUCGAAGCCCCAGUAAACGGCGGCCGUAACUAUAACGGUCCUAAGGUAGCGAAAUUCCUUGUCGGGUAAGUUCCGACCUGCACGAAUGGCGUAACGAUGGCCACACUGUCUCCACCAGAGACUCAGUGAAAUUGAAAUCGCUGUGAAGAUGCAGUGUACCCGCGGUUAGACGGAAAGACCCCGUGAACCUUUACUAUAGCUUUGCACUGGACUUUGAAUAUUUAUGUGUAGGAUAGGUGGGAGACCAUGAAGCAGCUACGCCAGUAGUUGUGGAGUCGUCCUUGAAAUACCACCCUUGAAUAUUUGAAGUUCUAACUCAGGAGAGAUUCGAGGACAGUGUAUGGUGGGUAGUUUGACUGGGGCGGUCUCCUCCUAAAGAGUAACGGAGGAGUACGAAGGUGCACUCGGUACGGUCGGAAAUCGUGCCAAGAGUAUAAAGGCAAAAGUGCGCUUGACUGCGAGAGUGACGGCUCGAGCAGGUACGAAAGUAGGUCUUAGUGAUCCGGUGGUCCCGAAUGGAAGGGUCAUCGCUCAACGGAUAAAAGGUACUCCGGGGAUAACAGGCUAAUUCCUCCCAAGAGUUCAUAUCGACGGAGGAGUUUGGCACCUCGAUGUCGGCUCAUCACAUCCUGGGGCUGAAGUAGGUCCCAAGGGUAUGGCUGUUCGCCAUUUAA